UACGUAGGGGGCAAGCGUUGUCCGGAUUUAUUGGGCGUAAAGAGCGUGUAGGCGGCUAGAUAGGUCCGUUGUGAAAACUCGAGGCUCAACCUCGAGACGCCGAUGGAAACCAUCUGGCUAGAGUCCGGAAGAGGAGAGUGGAAUUCCUGGUGUAGCGGUGAAAUGCGCAGAUAUCAGGAAGAACACCCGUGGCUAAGGCGGCUCUCUAGUACGGUACUGACGCUGAGACGCGAAAGCGUGGGGAGCAAACAGG
rnacentral:rRNA from 1 species